GCCAUAUUACGCUGAAACACCGGUUCUCAUAUGAUCACCAAAGUUAAGCAACUACAAGCCUGGUCAGUCCUUAGAUGGGUGACUGAUUGGAAAUACCAGGUGCAGUAAG